rnacentral:rRNA from 1 species
CCUACGGAGGCAGCAGUGGGGAAUACUGCACAAUGGGGGAAACCCUGAUGCAGCGACGCCGCGUGAGUGAAGAAGUAAUUCGUUACGUAAAGCUCUAUCAGCAGGGAAGAAACACUGACCUUACGGUCAGCAGACGGUACCUGAAGAAAAAGCAUCGGCUAACUCCGUGCCAGCAGCCGCGGUAAUACGGAGGAUGCGAGCGUUAUCCGGAUUUAUUGGGUUUAAAGGGUGCGUAGGCGGAAUGCCAAGUCAGCGGUAAAAUCGCGGGGCUCAACCUCGCUCCGCCGUUGAAACUGGCGUUCUUGAGUGGGCGAGAAGUAUGCGGAAUGCGUGGUGUAGCGGUGAAAUGCAUAGA